CCUACGGGAGGCAGCAGUGGGGGAUAUUGCACAAUGGGGGAAACUCUGAUGCAGCGACGCCGCGUGAGUGAAGAAGUAUUUCGGUAUGUAAAGCUCUAUCAGCAGGGAAGAAAAUGACAGUACCUGACCAAGAAGCCCCGGCUAACUACGUGCCAGCAGCCGCGGUACUACGUAGGGGGCAAGCGUUAUCCGGAUUUACUGGGUGUAAAGGGAGCGUAGACGGUUAUGUAAGUCUGGAGUGAAAGCCCGGGGCCCAACCCCGGGACUGCUUUGGAAACUGUGUAACUGGAGUACAGGAGGGGCAGGCGGAAUUCCUGGUGUAGCGGUGAAAUGCGUAGAGAUCAGGAGGAACACCGGCGGCGAAGGCGGCCUGCUGGACUGAAACUGACGUUGAGGCUCGAAAGCGUGGGGAGCAAACAGGAUUAGAUACCCGAGUAGUC
rnacentral:rRNA from 1 species